UACAGUCAGUUUUAGCUUAGCUUUCAAACAAUUGAUCAUGGACGGAAAACGAACUAUUUUUUUUAUUUUCUUAACGUUUGCCUUCUUCCUAACAUGCGCAUAUUCCUUAGAAUUUCAAUACUGCCGACAUCCGAAAGAACCAUCUAAACCAACUGGAGGUUCCUGCCACCCAAAGACAGAAUGCGCUGAUCCAACAAAACUUCCAGGUUUGGCAUUUGUGUCCCCUGACUGUAAAGAGGGGGAACUUUGUUGCAUAUUCGUCUUAAUAUAAUGGUAAAAUGGCAAUACGAUAAUUCUAAAUUUGUUUCAUCAAAAGGUGACUUUGAAAUAAAUAUAAAUACGAA